rnacentral:rRNA from 1 species
UACGGAGGGGGCUAGCGUUGUUCGGAAUUACUGGGCGUAAAGCGCACGUAGGCGGAUACUUAAGUCAGGGGUGAAAUCCCGGGGCUCAACCCCGGAACUGCCUUUGAUACUGGGUAUCUCGAGUCCGGAAGAGGUGAGUGGAAUUCCGAGUGUAGAGGUGAAAUUCGUAGAUAUUCGGAGGAACACCAGUGGCGAAGGCGGCUCACUGGUCCGGUACUGACGCUGAGGUGCGAAAGCGUGGGGAGCAAACAGG